AAUGAUAGAAUUAAAUACUUCUUAAAUGAUAGAGUAUCUAAGGUUGAAAAACUCCACUAAGGUCUAUUCCAGCCAUCAACACAGCACCAUCAUAUCACUAAAGCCCUCAGUGCCACAUCUACACAAUUCUUCCAUGGGCAGUAACUCCAGUACCUCCCUGGGAAGCCAUUGCAUUAAUAAUCUUUCUGAGAAAAAAUGUUUCCUACAUAUCCAACCUGAAUCUCCCCUGGUGCAACUUAAAGCCAUUUUCUCUAGUACUAUAGCUAAUAUUUGGGAGAAGAAGCCAACUCGCACCUCACACAAUCUCCUUUCAAGUCAUUGAAGAGAGCUAUAAGGUCUCCCCAGAGCCUUCUCCAGAAAAAAAAACAAUAGGCUAAACUUGAUGCCCAAAGUCCAAGGUACAGUCAAGCUGCACACUGCUUCCCUCUAAAGAAGAUGAACUGAGCUGUUUGAUUUUGAUUGAAGCUUCAAGAAUGUCCUCGUUUACAAGAUAUCUUCAUGGGCAUUCUGGAGGUUUUCCAUAUAGAUGUUCUCCAAACAUAUGUAAAAGCACAACUCACUUAAGCUUCAGCUUGGUAAAACUGACUGAUAUGCAAAAUGCUAAAGCUUUAAAUGAGGCUGAAAUGAAACUGAGUUUUAUGAGAUUAUGAUGAACAAGAUCUGGCCUAGUGGAAUAGGAAUGUACUUUCACGAUUGGCUCAUCCUCUAGUUGAACACAGCAUGUCAUAUGAGAAUUGUCCUAGUCCAUUAUGAAAGCCCAUAUAAAGCCUAUUAUUAAAGAUGAAUUUCAUACUUCGCUUUCUUAUUCCACUGUGACUUGACAAUAUCCAGAAGAAUCCCAAGGAGAUGAGUUCAGAGCUGUCGCAAUAUAAGGAUGCCACCCUUACAGACUGGGAAGGAAAGAUGGGAUAUCCUGGUGACGGGAUGAGAUGCAGAAACACCACCAGCUGCCACUGGAGAGUUAUAGCCCCAUUAAAAUCCAUUAUUUGAGUUGAAGUCCUGGACUUAUGAACUGAAAGAAAUCUCUCUAAUUGUCAUGACCAGCUGAUGGUGUAUGAAGGAUUUGGACUAACCAAAGAGUUAAUAAGUGAGAGAGCACUUACCUUAAUGCUGGGUGCCCAGGAUAUAAACCGAAGGCUAUUAGAGGCUAUAAUUAAGGAUGCAAGGAUCUGCAUUUGGAAUUUAGUGUUUAUGAUGGACCACAUCUCUCUCAGGCAAGAGUCAAGCGGCAGCAGGCUUCCCAAGAGACAUGAAGAGAAGGUUUGUCAUCAAGGGCCUCUUAGGUGGAAGAAACCUGCACGCAGUCCAUCCUGACUUCCAUCAUCAUGGAUAUGUGGGAGGAUACUUACAUCAGUUCAUUUUUUACACCCUUUUUUUUCUUGCUACUCAUCUCGCUGUCUGAAAUGCAGUUUGAGCAGGUACUGCUGUGAGUACCAAAGCUGCCUUGUGCCGUAAAGAUAACAGGAUCUUUGGUUACAGAAGUAUUUACUGAAAUGGCUUUUCUUGUUCUCCCACUGCCUCCAUCCUUUCUCCUCCCACAUACGUAGACAUUUAGAGAGCUGUUUGUUGAAAUAAUCUCACUGGAGUAUGAGAUACACAUUCAUACAGAGCGUGGGAGCAAUUUGGCCGUUGCAGUAGGCUCCACUUCUAUAUUCUGGGUAGGAAGUGAUGUUGCAUAGGCAACUGGAGACACACCUCUUGAAAGAUCUCAGAGCUCUCUUAGCAUCCCUAGCAUCUUCAAGUAUCAAGUGUUUUAGAUUAAAAACAUGUCACUGGAAAUAAUAAGUAUAGGUGCUGAGUGUCAAAUUGUACUUGGCAAUGACUACAACUACAGUAUUUUAUUUUCAGCAAACUUAUGUGGCCAGAAAAAAAUCUUUUAGUAUGUUCUCUAGUAGCAGCUCCUCAUCCUUCAUUUCAAAACUGAUAAAUCUGUGGGAUAACGAGGCUUCAAAAUCCUUCUUGAGGGGCUGUAUCAGCAGCCAACACAAAGUGAGA